rnacentral:rRNA from 1 species
AACGAACGCUGGCGGCAUGCCUAACACAUGCAAGUCGAACGAAGCCUUCGGGCUUAGUGGCGCACGGGUGCGUAACGCGUGGGAAUCUGCCCUUUGGUUCGGAAUAACAGUUGGAAACGACUGCUAAUACCGGAUGAUGGCGAAAGUCCAAAGAUUUAUCGCCAGAGGAUGAGCCCGCGUAGGAUUAGCUAGUUGGUGUGGUAAAGGCGCACCAAGGCGACGAUCCUUAGCUGGUCUGAGAGGAUGAUCAGCCACACUGGGAAUGAGACACGGCCCAGACUCCUACGGGAGGCAGGAGUGGGGAAUAUUGGACAAUGGGCGAAAGCCUGAUCCAGCAAUGCCGCGUGAGUGAUGAAGGCCCUAGGGUUGUAAAGCUCUUUUACCCGGGAUGAUAAUGACAGUACCGGGAGAAUAAGCCCCGGCUAACUCCGUGCCAGCAGCCGCCGUAA